UUCUGUAGUUCUGAGAUUCUGAGGUUCUGAAGUUCUGUAGUUCUGAGGUUCUGAAGUUCUGAGGUUCUGAAGUUCUGAAGUUCUUUGGUUCUGAAGUCCUGUAGUUCUGAGGUUCUUGAGUUCUAUAGUUCUGAGGUUCUAAAGUUCUGUAGUCCUGUAGUUUUGUAGUUCUGAGGUUUUGUAGUUCUGUAGUUCUGAGGUUCUGAAGUUCUUUGGUUCUGAAGUCCUGUAGUUCUUGAGUUCUACAGUUCUGAGGUUCCGAAGUUCUGUAGUCCUGUAGUUUUGUAGUUCUGUAGUCCUGUAUUUCUGA